UGAGGUAAUGGCUCACCAAGGCGACGACGGGUAGCCGGCCUGAGAGGGUGACCGGCCACACUGGGACUGAGACACGGCCCAGACUCCUACGGGAGGCAGCAGUGGGGAAUAUUGCACAAUGGGCGAAAGCCUGAUGCAGCGACGCCGCGUGAGGGAUGACGGCCUUCGGGUUGUAAACCUCUUUCAGUAGGGAAGAAGCGAAAGUGACGGUACCUGCAGAAGAAGCGCCGGCUAACUACGUGCCAGCAGCCGCGGUAAUACGUAGGGCGCAAGCGUUAUCCGGAAUUAUUGGGCGUAAAGAGCUCGUAGGCGGUUUGUCGCGUCUGCCGUGAAAGUCCGGGGCUCAACUCCGGAUCUGCGGUGGGUACGGGCAGACUAGAGUGAUGUAGGGGAGACUGGAAUUCCUGGUGUAGCGGUGAAAUGCGCAGAUAUCAGGAGGAACACCGAUGGCGAAGGCAGGUCUCUGGGCAUUAACUGACGCUGAGGAGCGAAAGCAUGGGGAGCGAACAGGAUUAGAUACCCUGGUAGUCCAUGCCGUAAACGUUGGGCACUAGGUGUGGGGGACAUUCCACGUUUUCCGCGCCGUAGCUAACGCAUUAAGUGCCCCGCCUGGGGAGUACGGA
rnacentral:rRNA from 1 species